GCCCCGUUAGCUCAGUUGGUAGAGCACCUGCCUUUUAAGCAGAGGGUCGCUGGUUCGAAUCCAGCACGGGGCA
rnacentral:tRNA from 1 species